AACUAUUCCGUUUCGUGAUCAGGGUUGUGUUAAACUCGAAGAAAAUCUUCCGUUCCACAAAUAUUUGACAUUUCGUUCCACAGCUUCCACAUAGAGCUGUCAACAUUGUUUUGACUGUUGUUACUCUGAAUAUAAACAUUUGAUAUUAUAUUAUUGCUAUUAGAUAGAUUUCAAAUAGUUACAAACAAAAAGUUAAUGUUAAAUCUUUUUUGUACCACUGUUGUUCCAAAUCUUAGGAAAAAAAAAGUUUAUUCAGUUGGUAUAAGGACAGACAUGCAAUUUGAAGACAACAUAUAUGUGUAAUUAAAAUGACGACGAAAAUAAGUUGUUUUGAAAACGAGUGCGUAGUGUUCCAGUUAUGACCUAGUUCUUGUGGUGGUCAAGUUUCAUUGCAUUAUAGACUGCUUUUAUGUGUAUCAAAAUUUAUUCAUUGGCUACCAUUGUGAAUAACUUGCAAUGGACAAGUUCAUCUGAAACCUUUUUAUUAGAUAUUAAAACUCUAAUCAUUGGCUUAUUGUGUCGCAGUUUUCCCAAUUGUAGAUAGUAAAAUUAAAGUCGUUCCUAGCAAACAAUCGUGCAUUCUGUUGGUUAAUUUGAUCUGCAUAGUAUCAGUGAGUAGUUGAGGGAUAUAACAAUAUAAACAUUCGCGAUAUUCUAAUCUGCAUCUGUUUCUCAUGCUGAAUUAUCGAUAUAUCGUUUUGCAUCACCUGCUAUUUGUGACCAACGUGUAUUUGUUCCUGCUGUCCAACAAUUCGCUCGUUCAAAGGCAACAAACGGAGGAUAGCGAAUCGCUACCGGAACCAACGCAAAUUCUGCUGAUCGAUCGUGUCAAUUGUGCUUAACAACGAAUCGCUAUACUCCGGGCUGAUCGUGGUCCGGCACAAGAUGCUAUACCGGAUCUACGCUUGCACGGGAAAUUGUAACAUACCGAAACCGAAUGAGGGGGAAGAUGCAUCAAACGGUGCGGAAUCGUCCCCACUGGGCUACCGACCAACGUGUAAUUGUUCCUGCUGUCUGAAAGGUCGACCGGACUCGCUCGAUCAAGUACCAAACGGGAUACUGAGUCGCUACCGGAAGCGACACCAAUUCCGCUGAAAUCUAUCGUUUGUGUGUUACCACGAACCGCUAUACUCCGCGCUGAUCGUGCUCCGGAACGAAAUGCUACACCGGUUCUACGCUUGCAUGGGAAUUUUAAUCGUACCGAAACGGUAAGAGUCAAUGUCCAUCUGCUUCCAGUGUGCGGCAAUGAGAUUUCAGCUCGCCGGAUACACCACGGCCGCAGCUGCUUGUAGCAGGUGAAUUUGCUCAACACCAUAUUACGUUUAAAAGCGACCCAGACCGCCCGAAAUGUCACCUGAUUUGCUCUCUGAACGCGUUGCUCAUCCAGAGUUGCUUAUUUUGGCUAUUCGCAACUAACCUACACUGGAUACAAGUCGUUCCUGCAUCCGCCACCCGUGGACGCGCUCGAUGGCUCUCAACUGAGUUUGUGUAUGUAUGUGCCAUUAGGAGCCUUGAGGACAACCAUAACAACUGGGUGACUAAACAGAACAGCGGGACAUUAUGAUUUAGAGCAACACACCACCGUUCUAUGAAUCGUUGGGGUUUGCACCAUGCGAUGUAGAAUAAUAUAGUCAAUGAGACAAAAUAACUAAUCGAAUGAUUCACUGCGUAUAGUUUUUCUCAUGUUCCCAAUCUUCUAUUGGCAGACAGCCGCUUUAAAUAAUCGGUGCAACGUCGUAACAUUAUUUAGUGGAUUCUUGGUGGAAAUGUGGUGCUUCCUGCCGAUGUUGGUGACUCGAAGGCAAACCGAAUAAAAGGGCUCCAGAUUGAAACAGUUAAACAUAUAGGGUAGAUGAUUUAAUUUUUCUCAAACUAUUAGGGUGCUACACUAUGUUCCGAUGAAUAUACUGGAAGAGGUAGAGAUUUUGUGCGAAGUAGGGAUACCAAUUUUUUAUCCCAUAAUUUGAACAGCAGACGAUGUGUUCGGUUAGGUACAAUAAAUAGAUAGGCUACGAUGAUAUAAAGAGAUGUAACCCUCUCAGUGGGAGGCACGAUUCUCGAGAGUCUAAGAUAGAAUAUUUAUGCAAUUUCACCCGAUCGAAGUGAAUUAUAACUCUUACAGAAACAUGGACAAAUAUAUUGCGAAUGAAUAAAUUAUGUUUCUAAAGUAAA